rnacentral:rRNA from 1 species
AUGUUGGACAACAGAUGGGUUGUGCCGUAUAACCCUUACCUUCUGCGGAUGUUCAAUUGCCACAUCAAUGUUGAGGUUUGCUCCAGCAUAAAGGCCGUCAAAUACCUUUACAAGUACAUAUACAAGGGCCAUGAUAGGGCUUCUUUCAGCAUCGACCAGCCCGACACCGAUGGUAACAUUGAUGAGAUCAAAAGAUAUGUAGACGCGAGGUGGGUUACUCCUCCAGAGGCGAUGUGGAGGAUAUUUGGCUUCCCCUUGUGUGCCAAUGACCCGCCUGUCCUACAGUUGCCUCUUCAUCUCCCGAAUAUGCAUAGGGUGGCAUUCAAUGAGCAAGCUCACUUGACCGACGUAUUAGCCUCUGAGAAUGCUUCCAAAUCCAUGUUGACAGAGUAUUUCAAAGCUAACCAGAAACACCCGUGGGCUAGGAAUAUAUUGUACAAGGAUUUUCCUGGAAGGUUCACAUGGCAGAAGGGUAAGAAGUAUUGGAAAGAGCGGGUGGAGCAUUAUCAG